GUAGGUGAACCUGCGGAAGGAUCACUAGUGAUUAAAUCGAGAGCGUCUUUAUUGACCUCUCACCCUUCACAUCCACAUACACCUGUGCACCGUUUGGCCCUUAAUAGCGCAAGCUUCAAAGGGUCAUCAUUUUUUUAUACAUACCCUAGUCUUAUGAAUGUAACAGUUUUAAUAAACAUAAUAAAACUUUCAACAACGGAUCUCUUGGUUCUC
rnacentral:misc_RNA from 1 species